rnacentral:rRNA from 1 species
AGAGUUCGAUUAUGGCUCAGGAUGAACGCUGGCGGCAUGCCUAAGACAUGCAAGUCGAACGAGAUGGCCCAGUGAAAGUUGCGUGCUUGCACAAGACUGGAUCUGGAUCACCAUCUAGUGGCAGACGGGUGAGUAACACGUGGGUGACCUACCUUUUCGUUGGGGAUAACAGUUGGAAACGAUUGCUAAUACCGAAUAAAAUAUAAGAGUCAAUUUUAUAUUGAAAGGAGCCUUUAAAGCUUCGCGAUUAGAUGGGCCUGCGGCGUAUUAACUAGUUGGUGGGGUAAUGGCCUACCAAGGUAACGAUGCGUAGCCGAACUGAGAGGUUGAUCGGCCACACUGGGACUGAGACACGGCCCAG